rnacentral:siRNA from 1 species
UUUAUCUAUGUUGCUUUCUAAGG